AACGAACGCUGGCGGCGUGCCUAACACAUGCAAGUCGAACGGAGAUAAGGGGCUUGCUCCUUAUUUUAGUGGCGCACGGGUGAGUAACGCGUGGAUAAUCUGCCUGAUGCUCUGGGAUAACAUCUCGAAAGGGGUGCUAAUACCGGAUAAGCCCACGGGGUCUUAGGAUCUUGCGGGAAAAGGAGGGGACCUUCGGGCCUUCCGACAUCAGGCGAGUCCGCGUCCCAUUAGCUAGUUGGUGGGGUAAAGGCCUACCAAGGCGACGAUGGGUAGCUGGUCUGAGAGGAUGAUCAGCCACACUGGAACUGAGACACGGUCCAGACUCCUACGGGAGGCAGCAGUGGGGAAUUUUGCGCAAUGGGGGAAACCCUGACGCAGCAACGCCGCGUGAGUGAUGAAGGCCUUUGGGUCGUAAAGCUCUGUCAGAGGGAAAGAAAUGUGGGCGGCUAAUAUCCGUUCCACUUGACGGUACCCUCAAAGGAAGCACCGGCUAACUCCGUGCCAGCCGCCGCGGUAACAC
rnacentral:rRNA from 1 species